rnacentral:rRNA from 1 species
UUGGAGGGCAAGUCUGGUGCCAGCAGCCGCGGUAAUUCCAGCUCCAAUAGCGUAUAUUAAAGUUGUUGCAGUUAAAAAGCUCGUAGUUGAAUUUCGGGGUUCUACCGUUGGUCGGGCAAUAGUCUGUACUGGCGUGUAGAAUUUCUACCUUCUGGGGAACUAUCAUGUUAUUUAUUUAGCGUGGUAGGAAACCAGGACCUUUACCUUGAAAAAACUAGAGUGCUCAAAGCAGGCUUACGUCUGAAUACAUUAGCAUGGAAUAAUAAAAUAGGACGGUGGUCCUGUUUUGUUGGUUUCUGAAUCACCGUAAUGAUUAAUAGGGAUAGUUGGGGGCAUUAGUAUUCAAUUGUCAGAGGUGAAAUUCUUGGAUUUAUUGAAGACUAACUUCUGCGAAAGCAUUUGCCAAGGAUGUUUUCAUUAAUCAAGAACGAAAGUUAGGGGAUCGAAGACGAUCAGAUACCGUCGUAGUCUUAACCAUAGACUAUGCCGACUAGGGAUCGGACGAUGUUAAUUUUUCUUGACUCGUUCGGCACCUUACGGGAAAC